CACGCAGGCGGCCAUGUAAGUGCGGUGUGAAAGCCCCCGGCUCAACCGGGGAAUUGCGCUGCAAACUGCAUGGCUAGAGCUUAGGAGGGGAGAGUGGAACUCCUGGUGGAGCGGUGGAAUGCGUAGAUAUCAGGAGGAACGCCGGAGGUGAAGACGACUCUCUGGCCCAAUGCUGACGCUGAGGUGCGAAAGCUAGGGGAGCGAACG
rnacentral:rRNA from 1 species